GACGAACGCUGGCGGCGUGCUUAACACAUGCAAGUCGAACGGAAAGGCCCUGCUUUUGUGGGGUGCUCGAGUGGCGAACGGGUGAGUAACACGUGAGUAACCUGCCCUUGACUUUGGGAUAACUUCAGGAAACUGGGGCUAAUACCGGAUAGGAGCUCCUGCUGCAUGGUGGGGGUUGGAAAGUUUCGGCGGUUGGGGAUGGACUCGCGGCUUAUCAGCUUGUUGGUGGGGUAGUGGCUUACCAAGGCUUUGACGGGUAGCCGGCCUGAGAGGGUGACCGGCCACAUUGGGACUGAGAUACGGCGCAGACUCCUACGGGAGGCAGCAGGGGGGAAUAUUGCACAAUGGGCGGAAGCCUGAGGCAGCAACGCCGCGUGCGGGAUGACGGCCUUCGGGUUGUAAACCGCUUUCGCCUGUGACGAAGCGUGAGUGACGGUAAUGGGUAAAGAAGCACCGGCUAACUACGUG
rnacentral:rRNA from 1 species